GCUACGCUUGUGCUCUUACAGUAAUUUCUAGAACUUCCGCCAGGAGAGGGCCACAGUGACCACUCACCACUUUCAGCCAACAUCCAAUUUUGUUAUUAUAGUAACCUUGAGUAGAUGGGCUCCCCAAGAACUUUGCAAAGAACUUGUGAGCGAAUGCUGUGCAAAGUGACUUUACUAAAUUCACUGAUAUUAGUCAUCCCCCAAUUCACAAUUGCAGCCCUUUAAAGAAUGCCACAAGUGCAUUAGAAGGCAUUUUGCUUUGGUCCUUCCAACCAAAAUAAAACUUCUGGAGUUUACUGUUACAUGAAUACACAGAAUCAUCUUGAUGUCAACUUUAAUGGAGACGUUCUGAACGUCAUUCUAAUCAUAACCUUUUAAUGACAAGCUGUGUAAUUAAAACAAUUGGAAAUAAUAGGGUGGUGAGCACUGGGGAGAUAUUUUAGUAUGCCUCAAUUGUUGGGAUAUUCAAGAUUUGUAUAAAAUUCUGGGUAUUUCCAUCCAGGUUAGCUUAUUCUAAUAAACACUACAAAGAACAUAUAUGGGGAGGAAAUCUAGAUGCGCAGAGGGAUAAAGAGAAUCCCAGGCAGACUCCACACUCAGCACAGAGCCCCGUGACCGUGAGAUCAUGACCUGAGCCAACAUCCAGAGUUGGAGGCUCAACCGACUGAGCCACCCACGCGCCCCUGGGAUUUUAAAACAUUAAGUCCCGUCAAAGCAACGUGGAUUUGGUUGUAGUCUCACAGAAACGUGACCAGAACGUGGUUACACUUUUUAAAAAGCUAACACCUGAACAACUGAAAAAGGCAGCACGACUACUGCAGGGGGAUGGAAAGAGGAAGCUGGGAAACGCAGCUGGGGACGGCGGCGCGAGGGGCGAGGAGCAUCGAGAACGUUACACGCCGACAGCUGAACCGCCAUGGCUACCCCACGGUCAAAACGUGCUCCAAUUUCUGGCUCACCGGGCUCCAUUUUGGAGUACACAAUUGUUCACAGUCAUCACCAACGUGAAGGUGCCUUGGGAAACAGCAGGUACCAAAGUUGGACCGUGACUUGUCUGGCGCUCCCGAUCCCCACGCGUGUCAGGACGAGCGACGACAAAAUUCUCGCAGAAUUUUUGAAAGCUAUUAUUUAAUGAUGAUGUUAUUCGCCAGGCAAUUAAAAAUACUUUAAAUUAUGCACAGUUGCUUGUAGUGCUGUUAAGAGUCCUCUGGGAAAUGGGGCGCCUGGGUGGCUCAGUCGGUUGAGCGUCCGACUUCCACUCAGGUCAUGAUCUCGCAGUUCGUGGGUUCGAGCCCCGCAUUGGGCUCUGUGCUGACAGCUCGGAGCCUGGAGCCUGCUUCGGGUUCUGUCUCCUCUCUCUGUUCCUCUCCUGCUCACGUGCUGUCUCUCUCUCUCUCUCUCUCAAAAAAUAAAGAUUAAAAAAAAAAAAAAAAGAGUCCUCUG
rnacentral:lncRNA from 1 species